CCCCCCCCACUCCACACCCACUCGUUCAGAGUUGUAUCACUUCCUGUUUAUUUCCACAUAACUCUGCCUGCUGUGCUUCCCUUUAACAACACCACACACAGAGGGGGAAAUGAAGGGAGUUAUGCAAAGGCACAGAAACUGAAGCCGAAGCCAAAGGCUGAAUAAUUGACAGAGCGACAGGUUACCGUGGCAGAGCCCCAGGGCUUUCUGUCACCGUUGUUAUCAUUAUGAUCGCUCCCCUUCCUGAAAACGUGACUGGAAGCUCUUACUCACAGAGUUGAUCCGGUCGUUCGAGUUGUUCAGGUUUGAGUCGCUCACCUUCAUUGGAAGUGUUUUUGGAAGUUUGAGGUGAGGUAGAUAAAGAGACAAAGACAACAACAACAUCAAAAAAAGAAUGUCACAAACAGAAUGGACACAGAGACACUGUCACGUUGGUCGUGAAUGUAGGGAUUAAUAAAGUUCUAUCCAUCCGUCCAUAACGACACAGACACGGGACAACAAAGUGAAGACUAAACUCUUCAUGUGUGUCAAUAAACAACAUGUAAUGAUCUCUUCUUCCUGCUGGUAAUGACGACGGUGGCAGCUGUUCAAGAUGACUCAUCGCAAACAAAACAACUGUCACCUGAUUUUGCAAAAUAAAUUCUCCUCCAGAAACAAACUCCCUCCUCCUCCAGCUCCACAACAACGCCUCCAUUAUUCUGUACAUAUUUAUAUAAUUAUCACAUCAACCACCGUCGCCUUCUUUUACUGUGGAAUUAUUAAAUAACAUGUGCAGCUACAAAACAUAUUACAGCAUAUUUUCUUUUUAUCACUGUGAAAAUAUAGAGGAUACAAAGUAUGUUAACAUUUACAGUUUCUCCAGGGUGGGAUUAGUUAAAUUUAAUCUAAUCUAAUCUAAUCCAGUUUGCAAACACUACAGUCAACGGACACACCUUUUUUCAAUCUUUAUCUGUUAACUUCUGCAAGACCACAGUGAAGAUGUGGCUCAGAACUGAUCUACUCCCACCUUGAACCCAUCAGUCCCUCGGACUGCGUACACAACCAUUGUCCAACAACAUCUCCAGAGGCUCGGCCGCUGCGAGUGUUAAAGCGGCUGCAGAUUAUCAUUCAGAUCAGAGUGUGAUCACACACUGGCCCUGGUCUGUUUCCACUCACUGGUUUACCAUAAAAAAAAACAACAUCUUUCUCAAACGUCUGAUGUGAACGCGGCUGUUUUUUCUCUCCUUUCUGUCUGAUACAGAGCAGCACUUCCUGUUCUGCAGCAGAGCCAUUCACUGUGAAUGUUACGGUACAACAUGUCCUUGGAGCGCGUGGUCAAAAGGCAGCACUUUUAAAUGAAACACCCGCGGUGGACAACGAGGCUGAUUAAGAUGCAGAGUGCAGAAGGGCCAGGGAGCCGCAGUGACGUGGAGCCCUGACAGCUCCACUAACAGCUCGGAGCUAAAAAAAGAACAGCACAGGAAAUGUCUUCACACAGGACGCGAGCACAACCACCGGUGUGUUCCUGUCUGUGAUGCCACUUCACCGGAUCACAACGAAUCACAGCGAAAAAUCUCUGGUAACGCACGACAAACUGUACAAAUGCACCUUUAAUAAUUCAAUUUCUUAACAAUUUUCAAAGAGACAAUUAAACCCUGGGAAUUUAAAAAACAAAUCCUCAGCUACUGUAAUUAUUAUAUUAUUUCACCCAUUUCUCCCUUCCAAUAAUUGCAAUAAAAGUCCAUAUGCUAUGACUGCUGAUUGGUCGUAUACUGUGAUGUCACCGUCUGAAACGCAGCCUGAUCCUAAUGGAUUAUGGGGGAGUAAUCCUGAUGGCUCUCCAACCUCACAGACGGGUGUGUGGAAGGGGCUAAACUUGCGUCAUACUGUCCUCUGCUGGUGCCCUAAUGCAAAAGAUUUGACAUCGGCUUCUCCAUAUCAAAGAUUUGGAGGAAAAAAAGAAAAAGAAAAAAGCUCACUAAUGACAAUUAAAUGUGUCUUUGAGUGACUUGAUGACGGCCUGAGAACAAUAAAAGAAAGA